UUAGCAUAUUUGCCUGCAUUCAGCUCCUUCUUCUGGGAUUAUGUUCUAAAUAUAUUUGUUAUGAUAUUGUGUUGAUGUAUUAUCUUGUGGAAUACACAGGUCAAUAUACCUUCCCUAUCGGUUGAUUAUUUAGUUUGUUUGCAGCAUGUAAGUAUCUCCAAGUGGCACUUCCUGUCUAGAUGCCUUAAAUAGCCUUAGGCUCAAACAGCUCAGCAUGCAGCUAUCAUUUGGCCCGUGACCUCUGAGCUUUACAGAUGUUAUAUUGAACCUGCUGACCAAGCCAUAGCUGCCACUUGUUACCUGUAUGAUCACCAGUGGUCCCUUUCUAAGGAGUUCCUAUCUUGACUACCUUGUCUUUUCCAAUAUUGAGUCCAGUUUAUAAAGCUCACAGGAACGAAAAACGUGCACGUAAAAACCAUUGCUCAUCUAUGACUAGCAACAUACUGUUUUUAUGGCAUUGCUCUGAUAUCAUGACACGAUGGUAGAACAUGUAUCAGCAAUGUUUCACACAGACUAGCAACGCAUCAAUUCCUGCAUAAAUCCAAUAAAUUAGAAGAAAAGAAAAAAACACAGCAUCACGAGCUCCAUCAGUACUCACUGAAGAUUGAUAGUGUGACAGUCAGUCUGGAAAGUUGAUAGCUCUGCUCAAGAGACUUAUACACUGUUCAUAAAGCAUCAACCAGUA